CAUACUCUUUCAUUGCCUAUGGUUCAUUGUCUGCUUUAUUUGUAUUUUGAUAGUUUAAUACUUCAUUGAAGAUGAAAAGUCGUAUCAUGAAUCUUAAUGCCGUCAUUUGUGUUUCCCUAGGCAAGGUACUGCUGGUGGGAGGCAAAAUCCUGAAAGGCGAACUCGAGAGUCAAGAGCAGUCCCUGCACCUGAUGCGAACGCAGAGCAGGGCUAUGGUUCCAAAGGCAACAAGAAGAUAUGAGGAGGGCCCACAUAGUGUCAAGUUUUCCGGCGAACCCAGGCGGAGAAGUCCCGAGUGAGGAGGGCCCACAUGCACGAUGGAGAAGGUCAUCACGAGUGGCGUGCGCCUUGGGGUUAAACUAGCCUUUGUGUUAUUUUCUGGAGAGGAAAGUUGAAUGAUCCAGUAAACGUGAGUUUACUCUUCUUUGGAGAUGGCAAGUUAGCAUGGGUUUACCUGGACAGCGAUGGGUGUGUUAAAGUGCGGCUGUUUUUCAAAAAAGUUGUGGGAAAGAACUCACAGAGAA